CUACGGGUGGCUCCAGUGAGGAAUAUUGCACAAUGGGGGGAACCCUGAUGCAGCAACGCCGCGUGGAGGAUGACGCAUUUCGGUGUGUAAACUCCUUUUAUAUGUCAAGAAAAUGACGGUAGCAUAUGAAUAAGCACCGGCUAACUCCGUGCCAGCAGCCGCGGUAAUACGGAGGGUGCAAGCGUUACUCGGAAUCACUGGGCGUAAAGGACGCGUAGGCGGGUUGGAAAGUCAGGUGUGAAAUCCUACAGCUUAACUGUAGAACUGCACUUGAAACUUCUAAUCCAGAGUAUGGGAGGGGGAGAUGGAAUUAGUGGUGUAGGGGUAAAAUCCGUAGAUAUCACUAGGAAUACCCAAAGCGAAGGCGAUCUCCUGGAACAUUACUGACGCUAAGGCGUGAAAGCGUGGGGAGCAAACAGGAUUAGAUACCCGGGUAGUC
rnacentral:rRNA from 1 species